GCUCAGCAGUAGAGCACGUGUCUUCCAUGCACAAAGCUCUGGGUUCAAUUCCCAG
rnacentral:tRNA from 1 species